GACGAACGCUGGCGGCGUGCCUAAUACAUGCAAGUAGAACGCUGAAGGAGGAGCUUGCUUCUCUGGAUGAGUUGCGAACGGGUGAGUAACGCGUAGGUAACCUGCCUGGUAGCGGGGGAUAACUAUUGGAAACGAUAGCUAAUACCGCAUAAGAGUAGAUGUCGCAUGACAUUUGCUUAAAAGGUGCAAUUGCAUCACUACCAGAUGGACCUGCGUUGUAUUACUAGUUGGUGAGGUAACGGCUCACCAAGGCGACGAUACAUAGCCGACCUGAGAGGGUGAUCGGCCACACUGGGACUGAGACACGGCCCAGACUCCUACGGGAGGCAGCAGUAGGGAAUCUUCGGCAAUGGACGGAAGUCUGACCGAGCAACGCCGCGUGAGUGAAGAAGGUUUUCGGAUCGUAAAGCUCUGUUGUAAGAGAAGAACGAGUGUGAGAGUGGAAAGUUCACACUGUG
rnacentral:rRNA from 1 species